GAGUUUGAUCCUGGCUCAGAGUGAACGCUGGCGGGUAGGCCUAACACAUGCAAGUCGAACGGCAGCACAGUAAGAGCUUGCUCUUACGGGUGGCGAGUGGCGGACGGGUGAGGAAUACAUCGGAAUCUACUUUUUCGUGGGGGAUAACGUAGGGAAACUUACGCUAAUACCGCAUACGACCUACGGGUGAAAGCAGGGGAUCUUCGGACCUUGCGCGAUUGAAUGAGCCGAUGUCGGAUUAGCUAGUUGGCGGGGUAAAGGCCCACCAAGGCGACGAUCCGUAGCUGGUCUGAGAGGAUGAUCAGCCACACUGGAACUGAGACACGGUCCAGACUCCUACGGGAGGCAGCAGUGGGGAAUAUUGGACAAUGGGCGCAAGCCUGAUCCAGCCAUACCGCGUGGGUGAAGAAG
rnacentral:rRNA from 1 species